UAAAAAGAGAAGACUUGUAUAAUUCGAAGAGGAAGAAGAUGAACGUAUUGAACCGAAUGUUGUAUAUGCUAUAGAACUUUCAAAUGAUGAAAAUGGUAUUAAAAGGAGAAGGCUUGUACAAUUCGAAGAGGAGGAAGAUGAACAUAUUGAACCGAAUGUUGUAUAUGCUAGAGAGAAUGUUCAUCUCACAAAUGAUGAAAAUGUUAUCUUGGCACGAGAAAAAAAAACAUCUUUCAAGUUAUUCUAGGUCAACAUCUUCUAAAGGCACGAGUUAACAAGAGUAUAUAGCUCAAAGUUCAUCCAUUCAAAAUGAAGUUCAUAGUCAUAGUUUAUCAGAUGCUGAUUUUCUUAAUAAUGAAGAGGUAGACGGAGUUGCUAUUUCUAGAAAGAAGUGGAACACCACAUGAUUUGUUAUUGUUGUAGAUGAACAAGGGGUUGAAAAGAAUAUGCAUCUUCAGGUAAAAGAUGCAUUUUUCCUUCAUCAUAGUAGGAAACGAGUUCUUAUAGAAUGGAAUGGAAGUGGUCAGUGAAUUAGAGAAUCUGGUGGACUCUUUGGGAGGUGUUUUGGGGCUCAUUGCAAAUAAUUUUAAUAAUUUUCUUAUAAUGUACAAAAUUUGGCAUAAAGUUCCAAUGCAAUACAAAUAUGCUGUUUUUGAGAAUACUAUUAUGGUUGGUAUUUUUUUAUUAUAUUUUUGUUUUGAAAAAUAUUA